CUCUCUUAUAAACACACCAUCAGCAACUUGUGGCAGAACACUGGGACAGUUUUAUAUAUUUCUGAAACACUCAGAUCAGAGAGCUGAACUACAGUGUUUAUCACAGAAUGGACAAUACAAUUAUCUGGAGUUUAUUAUUUGUAGUUACUAUUCAUGGGGUUUGGAGUGAGAUCAAACUGGACCAGUCUCCCUCUGAGGUGAAAAGACCUGGAGAGACAGUGAAGAUGUCAUGUGUCAUAUCUGGUUAUAGCAUGACAAGCUACAAUAUUCACUGGGUACGACAGAAGUCAGGGAAAGCUCUGGAGUGGAUUGGGAGGAUGAACACAGGUUCAAACUCUGCUAUCUAUGCCAGCUCCUUUCAAAGCCGUUUCAUCAUGACUGAAAAUGUGCCCAGCAGCACUCAGUACCUCGAGGUCAAGAGCCUGACAGCAGAAGAUUCUGCUGUUUACUUCUGUGCUCGAUAAAGCACAGUGACUGAAGACAGUGGAGCAGCUGCACAAAAACCUCCACAGUCAACAAACAGCAAUGUGAUCUUCAUUUUCUCACCAGAUGCAAAAACACUUUAAUGUAUCCAUGUUAAGUUCUAAAUGUUUUAAACUCAUGAGUAAAUAUU